rnacentral:rRNA from 1 species
GGACGAACGCUGGCGGCGUGCCUAAUACAUGCAAGUCGAGCGGACAGCCGGGAGCUUGCUCCCUGAUGUUAGCGGCGGACGGGUGAGUAACACGUGGGUAACCUGCCUGUAAGACUGGGAUAACUCCGGGAAACCGGGGCUAAUACCGGAUGGUUGUCUGAACCGCAUGGUUCAGACAUAAAAGGUGGCUUCGGCUACCACUUACAGAUGGACCCGCGGCGCAUUAGCUAGUUGGUGAGGUAACGGCUCACCAAGGCAACGAUGCGUAGCCGACCUGAGAGGGUGAUCGGCCACACUGGGACUGAGACACGGCCCAGACUCCUACGGGAGGCAGCAGUAGGGAAUCUUCCGCAAUGGACGAAAGUCUGACGGAGCAACGCCGCGUGAGUGAUGAAGGUUUUCGGAUCGUAAAGCUCUGUUGUUAGGGAAGAACAAGUGCCGUUCAAAUAGGGCGGCACCUUGACGGUACCUAACCAGAAAGCCACGGCUAACUACGUG